rnacentral:rRNA from 1 species
CCUACGGGGGGCAGCAGUGGGGAAUUUUGGACAAUGGGCGCAAGCCUGAUCCAGCUAUUCCGCGUGUGGGAAGACGGCCUUCGGGUUGUAAACCACUUUUGUAGAGAACGAAAAGUCUGUUGAUAAUACCGAUAGAUGAUGACGGUACUCUAAGAAUAAGCACCGGCUAACUACGUGCCAGCAGCCGCGUUAAUACGAAGGGUGCGAGCGUUAGUCGGAAUGACUGGGCGUAAAGGGUGUGCAGGCGGGUUUGCAAGAUGGAUGUGAAAGCCCCGGGCUUAACCUGGGAAAGCCAUACAUGACUGCAAGACUAGAGUAUGUCAGAGGGGGGUGGAAUUCCAAGUGUAGGAGUGAAAUGCGUAGAUAUUUGGAAGAACACCGAUGGCGAAGGCAGCCCCCUGGGACGCAACUGACGCUCAUACACGAAAGCGUGGGGAGCAAACAGGAUUAGAUACCCUGGUAGUC